ensembl:misc_RNA Metazoa_SRP Metazoan signal recognition particle RNA
ACCAGGCGCAGUGGUGCGUGCCUGUAGUCCCAGCUACUCAGGAGGCUGAGGUGGGAGGACCGCUUGAGCCCAGGAGUUCUGGGCUGUAGGGCUCUAUGUCGAUCAGGUGUCCACACUAAAUUCGGCAUCAAUAUGGUGACCUCCCGGGAGUGGGGAACCACCAAGUUGCCUAAGGAGGGGUGAACCGGCCCAGGUCAGGAAUGGAACAGGUCAAAACUCCCCUGCUGAUCCAUAGUGGGAUCACAUCUGUGAAUAGCCACUGCACCAGCCUGGGCAACAUAAGGAGACCUGGUCUCUU